AUAACGCUGGCGGCGUGCCUAACACAUGCAAGUCGAACGCACUCGGGCAACCGAGUGAGUGGCGGACGGGUGAGGAACACGUGGGUUAUCUACCUUGAGGUGAGGAAUACCGGCGAGAAAUCGCCGACAAUACCGCAUACGUUUCGCAAGAAACAAAGCUUCUUCGGAGGCGCCUCUGGAUGAGCCUGCGCCCGAUUAUGCUAGGUUGGUGGGGUAAAGGCCUACCAAGGCGACAAUCGGUAGCUGGUCUGAGAGGACGAUCAGCCACACUGGGAUUGAGAACGGCCCAGACUCCUACGGGGGGCAGCAGUGAGGAAUUUUCGUCAAUGGGGGCAACCCUGAACGAGCAACGCCGCGUGCAGGAAGAAGGUUUUCGGAUCGUAAACUGCUUUUCUUGGGGAAGAGAACGGACGGUACCCAAGGAAGAAGCCCCGGCUAACUACGUGCCAGCAGCCGCGGUAAUACGUAGGGGGCGAGCGUUGUCCGGAUUUAUUGGGCGUAAAGCGCACGCAGGCGGUCUGCUGCGUUCCCAGUGACAGGUGGCGGCUUAACUGCCACAGGACUGGGAAAACGGGCAGACUUGAGGACGAGAGAGGGACGCGGAAUUCCAGGUGGAGCGGUGAAAUGCGU
rnacentral:rRNA from 1 species